rnacentral:ncRNA from 1 species
AUCUUCAGGGCAGGGUGCAAUUCCCGACCGGCGGUAAAGUCCGCGAGCGCUUCGGCGUUGAAUCGGUGUAACUCCGAUACCGACAGUAUAGUCUGGAUGGAAGAAGAG